GAAACACGGACCAAGGAGUCUAGCAUGUGCGCGAGUCAUUGAGAAAUUAUCUAAACUUAAAGGCGAAAUGAAAGUGAAGGUCCGUCUCGCACGGACCUAGGGAAGAUGGGUGGUCCAACGUGGCUGCCCCGCAUUCCCGGGGCGUCUCGUUCUCAUCGCGAGGAGAGGCGCACCAAGAGCGUACACGCUGGGACCCGAAAGAUGGUGAACUAUGCCUGGUCAGGACGAAGUCAGGGGAAACCCUGAUGGAGGUCCGUAGCGAUUCUGACGUGCAAAUCGAUCGUCGGAACUGGGUAUAGGGGCGAAAGACUAAUCGAACCAUCUAGUAGCUGGUUCCCUCCGAAGUUUCCCUCAGGAUAGCUGGCGCUCGUCGCGGACGAGUCUCAUCCGGUAAAGCGAAUGAUUAGAGGCAUUGGGGUCGAAACGGCCUCAACCUAUUCUCAAACUUUAAAUGGGUGAGAUCUCCGGCUUGCUCGAACUGUUGAAGCCGCGAGAAACACGGAUCAGAGUGCCAAGUGGGCCAUUUUUGGUAAGCAGAACUGGCGCUGUGGGAUGAACCAAACGCAGAGUUAAAGCGCCUAAAUCGACGCUUAUGGGAUACCAUGAAAGGCGUUGGUAACUUAAGACAGCAGGACGGUGGCCAUGGAAGUCGGAAUCCG
rnacentral:rRNA from 1 species